CGUACUGUGAAGCAUCCUGUUAAGUCAGGCAACGAGCGAGACCCCACGCCCACAGUUGCCAGCAUACCCUCCGGGGUGAUGGGUACACUGUGGAGACCGCCACUGCUAAAGCGGAGGAAGGAAUGGGCAACGGUAGGUCAGUAUGCCCCCGAAUCUCCCGGGCUACACGCGGGCUACAAUGGUUGGUACAAUGGGCAUCUACCCCGAAAGGGGAAGGAAAUCUCUUAAAGCCAAUCGUAGUUCGGAUUGAGGGCUGCAACUCGCCCUCAUGAAGCUGGAAUCCGUAGUAAUCGCGUUUCAACAGAACGCGGUGAAUACGUCCCUGCUCCUU
rnacentral:rRNA from 1 species